rnacentral:lncRNA from 1 species
GGACUUAGGGAGCUCGGCUGAUACUGCUCCCUCCCUGGGCUUCGGCAAGAGUCUUUCCCUGUCUAACACGAGGGAACACACGGAGAAUUUUAAUGUACACAUGCAAGAACAAAAGCCUGUGAAGCUGGAACGCAACUGUAGCAUUAAACAGCGGUGCCUCAAAACGUGGAUUUGUACCAACUAGAAGAACAACAUCUGCUUCUUCCACACCAGCAAUUGUGGUAUUGAGAAGAUAAUUGGAACGAAACCGAUAGCUGAGAACAGCUUUAACACUCAUCUUCAAUCCAAGUACUUAGGAGGUAAAGACAGAAAGUUCUUCUGCUACACAGAGUUCAAGGCCAGCCUGGGCUACAAGAAACUCAAAAAUCAAAAUGAAAUCCAAAACAGCAGCCUGGAGCACAGCUUAAUGCUUCUCACCCAGCUCCUUCAGUGGGGAAGAUCUCUUCAGUGCAUAAGUUGUCAGAGUCAACUUUAUUAAGCAAGUCUUUCAGAGCUACUAAGGCUUCAGCAUCCACCAAGCCUCCUGCAAUCGCUGCCACAGCAUUGCCUUCAAAAUUCUGUAACUGGAAACACAGAAAAGGGCAUCUCUAAGAAACCUACAGUCAGCAAAGACCAUGACUGUUCAGGAAAUAAACCAAGUCAUUUUCAAGCAUCCAGAGUAGCAGGAGGCACAGCCGUCUCUCCUGAAUUAGUGUAGCUACCACUGCACAUUAAAGAAGUUUUUUACAGCAAAUGCAGAGGAAAACCACACUGGAAACAAUGCAGAAAUCAACAAAUUGUGGGGACCCCAGCCACAACAGACACAUCUACACCAUGGCUCUUGCAGCUAUUGCUCAAGGAACCAUCAUGGAAAAGAAAAAGUCUAAGAGCCAGCGUACCAGAAGUCUGCUGUAAAGCAGUGUCUCCUAGAAAGGCUGCAUAAACAAGAUCCGAAUACCAAUACCAACAGGAAUUUUAACGUGGAAGGGAGAAAAUUCCACAGGUCUCACCUCUAGACAAAGAACUGCAAGCAACUGACUGCUGGGAGAAAAAGAAUUAGCUUCUCUCAGGAAUGAACCCCCAUAUAGGUUGUCCAGUACAGAACAGUCAGUCAGCCUUGAAAUCAUAUAUACACAAACAAUAAAAAUGUAGAUUCUAUUUGUGCAUGUACAUAAAUUUAUAUAUUUANNNNNNNNNNNAAUAUAUAUAUAAAACAUGAAUUUAAAAAGACAUUGUUGUCAAAAAAUAUUAGCUAGCAAAUAAAAAACAUUUAACCUUUUCUUUUUCUGGUGAAUUAAAUUAACUAACAUUUGAUUAUUGAAAUAACUUCCGAGUUCUCAAAAUACUCAUACAGUCAAGGAAUUUAAUGUAUUUUGGGUCUGAAUGCAAUGAACCACUUAUAUUUCUUUCUAAUAAACUGAUUCCUAGC